AUUGAACGCUGGCGGCAGGCCUAACACAUGCAAGUCGAACGGUAACAGGAAACAGCUUGCUGUUUCGCUGACGAGUGGCGGACGGGUGAGUAAUGUCUGGGAAACUGCCUGAUGGAGGGGGAUAACUACUGGAAACGGUAGCUAAUACCGCAUAACGUCGCAAGACCAAAGAGGGGGACCUUCGGGCCUCUUGCCAUCGGAGGGGCCCAGAUGGGAUUAGCUAGUAGGUGGGGUAACGGCUCACCUAGGCGACGAUCCCUAGCUGGUCUGAGAGGAUGACCAGCCACACUGGAACUGAGACACGGUCCAGACUCCUACGGGAGGCAGCAGUGGGGAAUAUUGCACAAUGGGCGCAAGCCUGAUGCAGCCAUGCCGCGUGUAUGAAGAAGGCCUUCGGGUUGUAAAGUACUUUCAGCGGGGAGGAAGGGAGUAAAGUUAAUACCUUUGCUCAUUGACGUUACCCGCAGAAGAAGCACCGGCUAACUCCGUGCCAGCAGCCGCGGUAA
rnacentral:rRNA from 1 species